rnacentral:lncRNA from 1 species
CAAUAGCAAGUGAAGAUACCAGUCCUGCCCCCUAAACAUACUUCCAAAAUCUCAACUUGUGGUUCUUAUCUAGGAAUCUCUGAAGAAGAGCAACUUUUCAGACAGGUAGAGUGUGCCUUGCUCCCAAGGAAAAGAGUUCUUGAAAAAAACAAAUGGGAAACAUGGCUACAAGAAAACUGGGAAGACUGCAAGAAAAUCUCAGAAUCUGCUUGAGAAUCCGGUCCUUCUUCCUCCAUACACCCAUGGAACACUCCCAAACUCUGUAUGCUGCUCACUA